AUAUUGGAUUGGGGGGGAGGGGGGCCUUAUCCUUAGUUGGCUCCAUUUGGGAUCUCUUGGUAUUCCACUGCUUUUUUGACUCCUAAUGUGUAAUCAUCCAAAGGUACAUGAUGUAGAUUUGCUGCUGAUAGUAUUGUCAGUAUCUGUCCUUUUGGUUUUCAAAAAGUUUAUCAACAGUCCUUGGAGGAGCACUCUUUGAGCACAUUCUAGAGAUUUGAAGAUUUAAUACCUGCAGAGUGAUAGGGAUGGUGUGUUGAAGCUCUCUUAUUAGUAUCAGAUGAAAAGAGUGGCAGCCUGCCAUUUUUAAAUGCUAGUCAUGGUUUGUACUCUUUUAUCAUUCCUCUCGGGUCAGUUUCUCAAAGUUCUAUUCCUAAUUUUAAGCUUUCUUGAUGCUCAUAUUUGGUUUAUUCUGAUUGCACGUAACCAGUUAUGAUAUUUGCUUGUGAAGUUUGAGUACUUCUGUUACAGAUCCUUGUUUAGCAUCACAAAAUGGAUCUUAACCACUGAUAGGAAAAUGGGUUUUCUGUAUAUCUCAUUUUGUAUGGUUGUCUGUUUCUGUAGUCCAUUCUAUGUUUGGUUGUAUUGAAGGGAAAUUGUCAACAACUCAUGUAUUCCAAUGUUUAGUUCUCCCACCCUUAUAUCAGUGGGAUUUGCUCGAGUUGCGUUAAAAGUGAUGCAACCACGCCAAGAUUUAAAUGCCUGGUGUAAUUCCUUCCUAAACUUUUCUCCCUGUUUUCCUUUUCAUUUGUUUGUUUCUUAGAGCCGAUUAAGCGGAGGGUUGGAUCAUCGUAUAGCCUCUGAUUUAUCGACUUUGCUUUUGGGGAUGUUUGGCAUUGGAUAAAAGUUUCAGUGGCCCAUGAUAUCCGAUAGGAAGUGGAUGAUGAUUUACACUAGUCUGAGUUGCUGUUGGAUUCCUCAACAACUGGCUUGCAAGGAAACUAGCAUUGUAACGAUCUUUUGGGGCAAUCAUUCAUUUUAGCAGUAUAUCUGUAGCCUUUGCUUUCCAAGAUGGGAUAUUAGUAUAUUGGAAAGGUAUAAUCAUGGUAUUUGUUCAAGCAAGCUUACCUUUGACAGUCUUCAUGCCUCCCCCAUUUCAGCAUCAAGGGAGGAAUUAUUUCUAAUGCUAAGAUUGGAGUUGAGCUCAAAUGUCAAAGGAUAAUUACUUGAUGCUGUCACUGAUUAUUAUAGUUUCUGUACAUGAUUAUUGUAGUUUCUGUACAUGCAUACGGAUUUAUAUAUAUAUAUAAUCAACUGGACCUGAGAACAUUUCCAAGCUAAAAAUUCUGAGAUAUUCUUGGCAGCAUUCAGGUUUUCCUUUGUGAUUUUCUCCCAAAGUUGUCAAUCUGAUAUAUAUAUGUUAUUGUACUUGAAUCCA